rnacentral:lncRNA from 1 species
UCGGGUUUGGGUUUGGGUUUGGUUCCAUUUUUUACAAAGACUCAAAUGGUUCUAUUUGCAAAAUAUUCGAAGUAUAAUGGGUGAUUCUGGGUAUUGAAAUACCCGGACCGACCCACCCGGUGCCCAAGCCUACCUAUAUCUUCCUUCAUGUUAACCAUUAAAACAUGGCAAUAGAGAGAUGAAACUGUAGACGAACUUGUAGAGAAAAGGAUAGGAAAGUUUUAGAUGAUGAUCAAACUGCGGAAGAAUCUCAUUUGGGGACCACUUCCUUCAUUCUCACCUCAUUUAUGAUGAUCAAACAAAAUGAGAUCAUCACUAUCAAUAUCACGGUUCCUAGAUCUUUCUAGCCUUUGAAUGCAAUUUAGCGUUGAUUGCCUCUUCAGACAUCUUCAUGGUCGGCUUCUUCCUCUUCCCAGAAGUGCAGACAGGGCAAGCCGGGUAGUAUAAGUUGAUCUGUGGUGUCAUUAUUCCAAGCACUCAGCAUGGUAAGCAAGUCCACAAGUCAAAGCAGCAACCACACCAAGUUCAUUGGUAGCUAUUAUUUUCAUGAUGCCCAACGAGGAUCUUUCGGUUAAAAGCUUUGCACAAACACCACAACUUCGGAGAUUAAAAGAAGGAGAUCCUAAAUUUCGUCCAACAUAUCUAGUUAUUUUGCCCCAACUGAAGCCAAAGUUUUCACUAUCCAAAAACCAUCUCUUUUUCCGAGUUGUCAUAAGCUCAGAGAAUGGAGGAAUUGACAAACCAUCAGAUGACCCACCCUUCGAUCCUCUUGUUGAUUCAUAGCCCCAAGUAGGGAGAACAAAAGAAGAUGCUUUUUUAGAAAUUAAGAAUAUACGCGACUUGUAUUUUGUAAUUGAGUUGUCAGAUACUUGUCGUAACGGUUGCUGUCUAGGAGAAUGGGGACUCCACCUAGAAGGGGUUGACUUUGGAGGAAACGGGUGACUGUGGGAUGAUAAAGGAGAUGUUAACACGGGCGAAACUGAAGGAGCCGAAGGAGCUAACUUAACAGGAUAUGGGGAUAAUACUGCUGCAGAAAGAUCAGUGAUGAGAUUUUGGUUUGGGGUUUCUGCGUAUGCAUCUGUUUAAGGGUUUGAGGUUUUGAGAAGUUUUAUAACGUAUUAAUUACGUUAUGAAAUGAUAUAAUUGAUUAAUAGGGUAUCAAUCAAUUUAGUUAUUUUUUUAGGGUAUUGG